AGGCCGAGACUUCCAGCUCCUAGGUUCUCCACACCAGUCUUUCCUUCAGGCUGCACCGCAGCCAGGGACCCUGAUUCUAUUUUCAGCCGCGCCUCCCGAUCCUCCUCCCCGCCACCAUCACAAAUACACCGUCCUCAAUCGCUUGAAUACUGGGUGGGGAGACCAGAGUGGGCCCUCUCCCCGCCCAACCCAAGGACUGUGGGUGGGAGAGGUCUCCCUGCGCACACGGCUGAAUCGACGCGCGCCCCGAGGACCUCUGAACUGACCCGAGAAAGCGCGCGAGAGGGAGGGGCCGGAACAACGAACGCUGGUUACCUAACGGUCCGGCCCAGCCAGUCAGGCUCCCGAAGUCCACACCGCGCGGGCCGCUGAGGUGGCAGCACAGCCACAAUCGCCCCAAGGGCUAAGGAGCACGUCAGGAGCACCCGAGGUCACUAGUUCAUGAUCCUUUCGGUCACCCACGAGCCCCGAGCACAGCCGUGUUUACAAACCACCCCUGGAGGAAAAGGCUGAACGGCACUUUAAAGGCCACGGGCUCCCACAGGCUUCCGUCCUCUCUCGCGAGAUCGGAC